rnacentral:rRNA from 1 species
GAUGAACGCUGGCGGCGUGCCUAAUACAUGCAAGUCGAGCGAACAGAUGAGGAGCUUGCUCCUCUGACGUUAGCGGCGGACGGGUGAGUAACACGUGGAUAACCUACCUAUAAGACUGGGAUAACUUCGGGAACCCGGAGCUAAUACCGGAUAAUAUAUUGAACCGCAUGGUUCAAUAGUGAAAGACGGUUUUGCUGUCACUUAUAGAUGGAUCCGCGCCGCAUUAGCUAGUUGGUAAGGUAACGGCUUACCAAGGCAACGAUGCGUAGCCGACCUGAGAGGGGGGUCGGCCACACUGGAACUGAGACACGGUCCAGACUCCUACGGGAGGCAGCAGUAGGGAAUCUUACGCAAUGGGCGAAAGCCUGACGGAGCAACGCCGCGUGAGUGAUGAAGGUCUUCGGAUCGUAAAACUCUGUUAUUAGGGAAGAACAAAUGUGUAAGUAACUAUGCACGUCUUGACGGUACCUAAUCAGAAAGCCACGGCUAACUACGUG